rfam:Paracoccus solventivorans strain DSM 6637 genome assembly, contig: Ga0131120_106
GCGGAUGGCCGGAUGACCGCGGGCGGUGGUUUCGCCGUUCGAGGAAAGUCCGGGCUCCAUGCAGGCAUGGUGCCGGGUAACGCCCGGCGGGGGCAACCCCAGGGAAAGCGCCACAGAGAACAGACCGCCCCGCCUUGUGCAGGGCAAGGGUGAAACGGUGGGGUAAAGGCCCACCGCGGGACGGGCAACCGGACCGGCACGGCAAGCCCCACCAGGAGCAAUGCCGAAUAGGGAUCGCGCGCGGGGGCAACCCCGCAGGGCCGCCUGCGCCCCAGCAGAUCCGGGUUGGCAGCUAGAUCCCGCCGGCAACGGCGGGGCCAGAGGAAUGGUCAUCCACGGGGCGCAAGCCCCCGGACAGAACCCGGCUUACAGGCCAUCCGCGCGU